GAAAAAUUGUAAAACAAAAAACAUUAAAAUUGGAUUUCGGUGUGUACGUGUCGUCGCGCCACCCAACGACGGGAAAUGCGAUCCCCGCGGAAACAUCCCGUCAAUUUCCGUUUCGGACUUUCCCCAACAUUCGAGUCAAUAGACGAAUCAACGAGAUAGCGCCAUAUGCAAAUACAAGAAACAGAUUUCCUUU